ACGGUUUUGGGACAAAACUUUGAGCAUCCCUCAGGUGAUAUAUGAGUCUAAUCUUACAAUCAUUGGUGAAGGGAGGUGCCACCCAGUUGUGCUUUGGCUCUCUCGCAUCUGUCUUCACGGGUAUCAUUACGAGCCAUGUGGUCGUACCUUAUCUCUACAACAUUGGGAUUUAGUUGUAAUUGGGUUUCCUUACUUAUCUUUUUCAUUAGGAUGCAAGAGCUCAGUGUUAUUUAAUUGUUUUCUGCCUUUUUUAUAUUGUUCCCAGUGUUUUUGUGGUUUUUAUUUUUAAUCUAUGAAGCACUGAGGGCUGUGGAAAAGGUGCCAGAUAAAAAAAAAAAGAGUUGGGUUUACUUUGCAGAAUUUUUCAGUGUGCCUCCUAGAUGCACAGGGAAUAAUGGCAGCACAAACACACAAACCCCUGAGCGUGGUUUAAGUGGCUUGCUUGUGGGUGGGAUUAGAGACAACAAGAGGAGUCGUAAAUGGAGUACGAAUAAACGGAUAAGGAGGGAUGAAGAAAAAGAGUAGUGGUGGUGCCAGAUGUGGAGGGGAGGCUGAGGUUCCCACAGAGUAAUGGGAGAGCAGAGGUGGUUGGGAGAGGUAUGAUGCAAGGGAUUGGAUCUUUCAAACUGUAAUCGCUCAGCUACCCAAAGGGGACAACUCCCUCUCUACUUCACGUUCUCGCUCCCCCCCUCUCCCCCUCUUCUCCUAUCUCCUCCUCUGCUCGCUCUCCUGUCAGGACGAGGAGGAACAGGCGGUGGAUUGAAAUGUAAAAGAGGCAGAGGAUCAGAGACAGGUGGAAAAUGAGAGGAGCAGAGGGCAGAGAGGGGGAGAGACGAGGCAGGAAUGGUGCGGGUCCCUCUGCUUGAACGGGGUCGGGGUAGAGUAUUUGGUGUGUGUGCAAGUGUGCGCUCGCCUGGUUGUGAACGUACACAUUCCUGUUUGCAUGCACAUCUCUGGAGACAGGAUGUAGAUUAUUGUUAGAGAGUGAACCUAUCCUAUUGAAUCAGUCCACCAGACCCCAUCAGGAAUCGACACUCGGCUUCCCGGGUUUCUCCCGGGAAUGAGGGGAGGAUAGAAUGAGUGAAAAGUAGAAUGAUAUCCAUCAGUAAUAUAAACAGCUGGAGGAGCUCUGACUCUCCCUGACAGCUGGCCCAAAGGGAGCUCCACCGUGUAUAGCUAACGUGUGAAUGUUGCGCCCUUAUAGCUCCGCACGCAGUUAGAGAUUAUAGAUUUAAAUGGAAUUAGACCAGCUGCGCAAGGGUUAAGAUAAGGAAGCAGUCAGAUUACAAAGAUGCGAUUAAAGGUUCAAAUCACAACUACUUAGACAAAGAGAGCAGGAAAAGGCUCACGGUGAAGCCAUUUUUAUAACCGAGAACGUAUCAGUUUGCGUGAAAUGAUUCAUGGAUUUGUUUAAUAUUAACGCACAACUAGACAAAUAUUGUUAUCUCUGAAGAAAACCACCCAGAGCUUAUUAAAGUCUGGCCCCAAUUAACGAGAAACUGAGAUGAAACCCGGCCAGCAAGAGCGAACAGAGUCCUUUUAUGGUUUGAAUGUAAACUACACGUGAGGCCACACUCCAUCUCUUGUGUUGUUGCAUGCAGACAUGCAUUUUUCAAUAUUAACACAAUGAAUUAUUCAAUGACCUGAUUACAGCCAUGACUCAUUAAAGUACAUGUGAAAUGUACAUGAUGAUUUUCAAAGGAGGACGGCGCCCACUGUGAACACGCAUCAUUCAGGAGCGCCUUGUUCAAUAAAUAGCAAUAAUUGGGCCCAAAGAAAGUUGGUUAUUUGCAGGCAGAGGGUUUUGAAUCGAGAAAAGGAGAUUCAUGCGGGUCCCCGACUGGAAGUGAGUAAUUCUCCAUGUUUUGACCUAUUUAAAACAAACUGACUCUGCAUCACAGUUUCUCUAUUUAUUGAAUUGGUUUCCUUCCAUUCCAGCAAGCCUCAUGACGCAAUGGAUAAAUCAUCAGUCCUGUUGAACAAGCUCGAAUGUUGUGUGUUGACAAGUAAUUUGACAUCGAAAAAAACAGCAUUCAACAUUCUGGUGACCUAUCCAACCACCCCAACUUCCUCCGUCUGCUCACUCUGUUGCUCGGUAACAAAGUUCAACUGUCUCCUCUCAUGAGUCAUAUGAAUGACCCGCGCACCUUUUUCCAGCUUAGACAUUCACCUCUCAUUAUUACUCACCAAUCUGGGUGUUUGAGUGAGCCCUAGUUUGACCCGUAAAGCCCACAUUAAACAUCUCCUUUUAGUUUUACAAUUGAACUCGCACCUAUUUUAUGUUCUUUUGCAUUUGAAAUCAGAAGAUUUAUAAUUAAAAUUACCAUCCUGUUAACCUGUUAACCUGCACAGAUUUUACAGAUAGACUCUCUGAAGGCCAAAUCUUAUGUAAAGAAAACAACUUCAAUCAGAAACUAAUAAUAAAAACUCACUAAAGAAGACAGAUUGAAUAAAAAUUGUGUUUUUUUUAAGUACUUUUUUAAUCAGUCUGCAACCUCCGGUCUUCAGAAAUGAAAAUCUUCAGUUCCCAGAAACCAUGAACACACACACACACACACACACACACACACACACACACACACACACACACACACACACACACACACACACAAAAAAAAUACAAUUUAUCUGACCAAAAAAACGAACACAUUUACAGCCUGGUUCAAAAAUCUGUUUUGGCUUCAGCAGCACUCACUGUCCUGGAGUGAAUAUUUUUGUUACACAUACAUUUCAAAGUUAUUAAGGUGACAGGAUUUACAUACCAGAAGCACGGCUCGUAUUUAAAAUCUCAUCAAUAUGAAAAUAACUCACUAUGGAAUCAAUGAAUGACAGGUGUGGUACUGGGCAUAACUUCAUUCUAGUACUAAGUCUCUUUGGCUGCUCGCACAUCUCGCCAACCUUUGAACACCGACUAACACCACAUAUUUUUGGCUGUUUGAGUGUUGCUUCAUGUCUCUGUAACAUUUAUAAUUUUUUCAUUAAAUUAGGCAUCAAAACUCGACCU